ensembl:lncRNA LINC00904 long intergenic non-protein coding RNA 904
GAAAGCGGGAGAUUUGGCAACCAGUGCGCGUGGGUGCGCCGGCCCUUGCAGCUGGGGACUCUGGAGGCAGACCUUGCCCAAAGCCAGAGGCAGGAACUCCCCAGAUCCUCCCAGGGUAGCAUGGGAGGAUGCCGCCUCCUCCAGGAAGCUCUCUAGCGCUUUUCCGAGUCCUGGAGCCAGGCGGGACUUCUCUGUGGUCGCCUAGAAGGGUAUGAACUUAGGGCAUCCCCAUCUGGGCUGUGAAGGUUUCUGACUUGGGGACCAGGUGCUCAGACCUUCCUGGAUGCUGCUUUCCACAAUAUCUCUACCAGGCAGGCAGGUUCUCUUCAUUUUGCAAAUUUGGUGAAACAGCAUUUGUAAAACUUUAGAAGCUUCCUUGGCUCACACAGGUGGUAGUGGCCCUGUCAGGAUUUGACCCAGGCUCUCGGAUUCCAGAGUUCCUGAAUUUAACCACCUGUACUGUGAUGCCUCCUUAUCAUGUGUGCAUCGUGCAUUACUAUUUUUUAUAGCCUGUAGGGUACUGAGCACCAUGCACACCUACAGUGAUCACAGGCACUGCCUACUGGAAGGUCUUCUUUGGCUGGGUUCCAGUUUCCUCAGACGAUGUAGGGCAGGGAGUUCCACUUGUUAGCAUAUCCCACAGGGCCUUUCUCUUCAAAUGGACCCCAGCAGCCAACCACACAGCUGCCUCAGCAAGCGUAGGAGAUGGCACAUCAGAGACCAACAAUUGUCAGCACAGCAAAACUGGGCAUUUCUUUUCUUACUGAGCUUUGCAGCUACCUACACAGUUGUGUGUGGCAUCUCCUCCUGGGUGCAAGGACAUGAGAUGACAUCAGGUGGGUGCAGGAUCUAUCCUGGCUUAAAAGCCUAUGCCCCAUGGACACCAAUAUCUCUGGUAAUAAUUUCAUGGACAACUUUCAGGGUCCUGGUUGAAAUGGAUGACUUACCUUUCUUAAAUGUCAUCUUAAGUGGAUGACUUAACUUUUUCCAGUCCACUAUCAUGGUAUGCAUUUUGUGUAUAUGUGUGUGUGUACAUAUAGAUAGACAUUUAUAUAUAUAUAUAUGCAUGUAUAUAUAUGCACAUACUCACAUAUAUGUGUAUAUAUACAUGCACAUAUAUAUCUACGUCUAUCUAUCUGUCUAUUGGUAUGUAGUAGGAUACAGCAAAAAUAAUUGCUUUUUUAUAUGGCACCUCAGUAAAUUCCUUUCUUAUCUCUUGUAGUUUCUUUGUAUAUCGGGUAGUGUUUUCUACAUAUACAAUUAUGUUUUCUAUGCAUAUUCUUUUUAAUCUGUAUGAUUUUAUUUUUCUUACCUUUUACAGUUACUGUGAUCUCCAGUAAAAUGUUUAAUACAAGUGGAGACAAUAGAUAACCUUUUCCAACUCCUGAUCGGGGGGUGGAAAGUGCUCAGUGUGCUAUUAACUUAAGGCUUUUAUAGAUGUGCUUUAUCAUGUAAAGGCUGUUCCCUCCAAUUCUUUCUAUACUGAGAAAUUUUUUCAAAGAGGUGUUAAAUUUUUUCAACCCAUGUCACAAAUCUGCAUAUGUACUCCCCUAAACCUAAAAUAAAAGUUGGAAAGAAAAAUAAAACUAUUACUUGAAA